rnacentral:antisense_RNA from 1 species
GGGGAGGGGUGGCGAGGCGAGGCCUACGGAGCGGAGGAAGACACUUAAAGAUGAAGUGCUUAAUUCAAGGUCACAGAAUGUCGGGGAUGGACCUCCAGAUUUCCUUACUGACCUGCAUUAUCUUGUGGAUACCUGAGUGAAUUCCACACCACCCAUUUUAUAGAUGAAGCCACUGAGACGUGGAGCAACUGACUGAGUAGUCACUGCCCCACCCCUGCCUGGAGCCUCACACAUGACUUCUCUUAGUGACCACAGGAAAACAAGCUCAGGGCUCCCACUGAUUGUACAUUAUGACCAAGUGUGUUGGGGACUUGAGAUAUGUACAUGAGUGUUUGUGAUGUUUCCUGGUGAAAGCACAGGUGAGACGUGGUCUUGUAACACAGUGGUUAAGAAUGUGACUUUGGAGCCAGCCUGCUAGGGGCUGAAUUCUGACUCAGCCAUUUAUUAACUGUGUGACCUUAGGUCAUAGAAUUUUCCACACUCCUUGACGGAGGUUCUUAACCCUUAUCCAUCAGCAUUCUCAGACAGCACCUCCGGUUAGGGACAGUAUCUGACCGUCCGACAUCCCUGCAGCCCCCAUGCUGUCACACAGACUCAGCCUCAGGUAGAUGGUUUCCGUAGAUGGUGGCUUUCUUUGGACCCUUGAUAUCAACCAGUUACUAUUUGGGGACCAGAUGUGCAGAGGUAAUGAAUACCAGGGAAUCAGGAAACCACUGGAUCAGUUCUUUGAGCCAUAGAACAAC